CACGUAGGGCGCGAGCGUUGUCCGGAAUUAUUGGGCGUAAAGAGCUCGUAGGCGGCCUGUUGCGUCCGCUGUGAAAGCCCCGGGGCUUAACCCCGGGUCUGCAGUGGAUACGGGCAGGCUAGAGGUAGGUAGGGGAGAAUGGAUUCCUGGUGUAGCGGUGAAAUGCGCAGAUAUCAGGAGGAACACCGGUGGCGAAGGCGGGUCUCUGGGCCGAUACUGACGCUGAGGAGCGAAAGCGUGGGGAGCGAACAGG
rnacentral:rRNA from 1 species